AAACGUCGGUAACCAUCUGCCAAAAUACACGGCUUCAUAUUCCGGAAGAUACUGCUGUAAGAAUCUCAGAUCUGAUAAACUUAAGUUGUGUCUGAAGUACGUUGUCUUUCGGUGCUGAGGAACUACUUUCAGCAGAGCAGUAAUAUGGUGCUACACGUUGUUAGUUCAUUUCUGCAGUCAGCGAACAAGGUCAAAGUAACGCCGAGGACGGUAUAAUUGGACAGCACCGAUAGGGCAGAAAUUAUAAGAUUACUAUGUGCAAUACGUUACGAAAAAGUGGUCUGUAUCUACAUUUACUUUCCUUAAUUGUUUAGUUCGGUACAUCAGUUGGCGCGUUGAAUUAUUUUCCUCAUCUGUUCAAGAUGCGACUGAUUUGCUUCACUUAAAUGCGUGUGUUUUCCUUUAUCUGUGUUCGUGUGUGGUUUCUAUCGGUGGUACAUACAUGAAAACUUUCGUGUGAUUACGAUAAAUUUUCACGAAUGACCCCUUUUGUACAGAAGUUUUAACAAUCAAAUCUAAAUGACUUCGUCUUCGGUUCUACUGCAUGUUCUGUGAUGACAAGGUUAAUCAACUGCGGCAGUCUAUAUUGUCGAAGAACAAGAAUUCAGUAGUGAAAAGUGACAUCCAUCCUUUGAUGUGGAAUCGUUCGUAGACAGCGCAUCUUCGCAACCCAAAAUUCAGCUUUGCAUCCAGUGGCGUUUCCGAUGCUGUUACUCAGGACCUGCCAUGCCGUCACAGUGCACGGCCCCUAACGGCGCAGCCUCCUGAAGGCCCAGCCCCCGCGACCAUGUGCUGAAGGCUGCAGGCGUUUGAACUUCUGUACAGAUGACGUCAGCAUCACGCAAUAUCGUGAGGUGUACAUUCGGUAGGUAA